GAGCAAAAAGGCAGCAUCUGCAAAUCAAACUAAGCAGCAUGUUCCAGGGCUGGGCAAAUGGGAGAGGGAGGAGCCGGGAGGUGGUUGCCAGGGAAACAUCAGAGCUUAGCCAGUCAGCAGGGGCCACCAGUUUGGUUGCCGGGUGCACUCUGCAGGAUGACACUGCCCUCAGGUGGUGGAUAGGGAUGCUGACAGCCACGGCACCAGGGACCGCUAUGUCCUGAGCCGAUGGAGGCACCUUAGGAUGUUUUCCCCUCGCUCUGUGUAUACUAAAGAUACCCAAGUAGGGCUGACCCUGCAUACAGCUCCCAUGGCCUCUCUGGGGGAGCAAGCUGAGGAUAUUCCGUUGUGAUGAGGUUUCACAAGCAUCCUGACCUCUGGGGAAGUUGCUUUUGCCACAGUUCCCAUCAAGUGUUGCCCUGCAUGCCAAGGAAACAGAGCCCCUUGCAGGGAAGACAAAGGGUCCAUGAGAUGCCUCCUUCCUUGAACAUGACAAAAUUCAGUGCUGUCAUCCACAUAAUUCAGCGGCAAAGAUAGGUUUUACUGAAUUUCUUCAGUAAGCAGGAGGACAGUGGAACAAAGUCUGCUGGCCUUGGACCUUUAAGCUGUCUGCCUUCCCACACCCUCGCUUUCCAACUCACCCAAUGAAGAACACAGCUGCACAGUGACAGUCCCAUCAAGCCUGUGUGGUCAAAUGGCUGUAUGGCCCCCUCAAUCCAUGUUCCAUUUGCUCCUAGUUCACUUGGGGUUUUUUGGCAAAUUGUUUGCUUUUCUCUAAAGUAUAUUGUUUGUAACUCAAGUAGCUUGUUUGUUGCACCCAAAGUUCACUAGGUUUGUACUUACUGGAAAAUUCCUGGGUCCUGCCCUUUUGACGUGUCCCCACCCAGGGCCCCCUGCCACCACAUGCCCUCCAGUGACACUGACACCUUGGCCCUCUAUUCCCUGGACAGUCUGCAGUUGGCUGGCCCCAGGCACCUGCAGUCCAGGUGACCCCACCUUCCACUCUCACUACCAGCCCUGUGACAUUCUGCCCCACAGCUGGGUUAGACUCCCUGAGCACAUGCACCUCC
rnacentral:lncRNA from 1 species